UAUGUGAUCGUCUCUCGCAUAUCAAUAAGCGGAGGAAAAGAAACUAACAAGGAUUCCCCUAGUAACGGCGAGUGAAGCGGGAAGAGCUCAAAUUUGAAAUCUUAAAGGGUUUCCCUUUACGAAUUGUAGUUUAAAGAAGUGUUUUCUGUUGAGGUUUUGGUAAAAGUUCUUUGGAAUAGGACAUCAUAGAGGGUGAGAAUCCCGUAUUUGACCUUUACUUUCAACUUUGUGAUACACUUUCAAAGAGUCGGAUUGUUUGGGAAUGCAGUCCAAAAUGGGUGGUAAAUUUCAUCUAAGGCUAAAUAUUGGCGAGAGACCGAUAGCGAACAAGUACCGUGAGGGAAAGAUGAAAAGAACUUUGAAAAGAGAGUUAAACAGUACGUGAAAUUGUCAAAAGGGAAGCGUUUGACACCAGUGUUGUUUUUCUGAAAAUCAAUUAAAGAACUGUUUAUGCUAAGCUGUUUAGACUUUAUCAGCUAUCUGUUUAGUUUUGAGCUUUUCUUUAAUGCACUUUUCAGUUAACAAGUCAACAUCAAUUUCUUUUGCUGUAAAAAAGCUUGAGGAAGGUGGCUUGAGAUUCGUCUUAAGUGUUUAUAGCCUCUUGCCUAUGCAGUCGGAGAGAUUGAGGUCUGCAGCGUAGAUCCUUCGGGGCUAAAUGCAUUUGUGCUAAGUUAUAGCAUUUUAUAGACAACUUGUUGACUAUGAUUUGUCUCGUAGCUUACUCGCUUAUGUUAUUUUACCUACGCUUAGGAUGUUGAUAUCGCGCUCUCACUG
rnacentral:rRNA from 1 species